AGCGAACGCUGGCGGCAGGCCUAACACAUGCAAGUCGAACGAACUCUUCGGAGUUAGUGGCGGACGGGUGAGUAACACGUGGGAACGUGCCUUUAGGUUCGGAAUAACUCAGGGAAACUUGUGCUAAUACCGAAUGUGCCCUUCGGGGGAAAGAUUUAUCGCCUUUAGAGCGGCCCGCGUCUGAUUAGCUAGUUGGUUGGGGUAAUGGCCCACCAAGGCGACGAUCAGUAGCUGGUCUGAGAGGAUGACCAGCCACAUUGGGACUGAGAGACGGCCCAAACUCCUACGGGAGGCAGCAGUGGGGAAUCUUGCGCAAUGGGCGAAAGCCUGACGCAGCCAUGCCGCGUGUAUGAUGAAGGUCUUAGGAUUGUAAAGUACUUUCACCGGUGAAGAUAAUGACUGUAGCCGGAGAAGAAGCCCCGGCUAACUUCGUGCCAGCCGCCGCAGUAA
rnacentral:rRNA from 1 species